rnacentral:ncRNA from 1 species
AGGUUGUUGACAAAGUGCCAGUGGCGGAGAGAACAGGCGGAUCGUAAAGACGCCGUCUUCCCUUUGUAAAAAUAAGCAUCCCUGAUGGCUCGAGCCGCGCCAUCCGUGGCGCGGACGCUUU